rnacentral:rRNA from 1 species
CCUACGGGAGGCAGCAGUGAGGAAUAUUGGUCAAUGGGCGAGAGCCUGAACCAGCCAAGUCGCGUGAGGGAAGACGGUCCUAUGGAUUGUAAACCUCUUUUGUCGGGGAGCAAAAAGGCCUCGUGAGGCCACAAGUGAGAGUACCCGAAGAAAAAGCAUCGGCUAACUCCGUGCCAGCAGCCGCGGUAAUACGGAGGGUGCGAGCGUUAAUCGGAAUUACUGGGCGUAAAGGGUGCGCAGGCGGUUGAGUAAGACAGAUGUGAAAUCCCCGAGCUUAACUCGGGAAUGGCAUAUGUGACUGCUCGACUAGAGUGUGUCAGAGGGAGGUGGAAUUCCACGUGUAGCAGUGAAAUGCGUAGAUAUGUGGAAGAACACCGAUGGCGAAGGCAGCCUCCUGGGACAUAACUGACGCUCAGGCACGAAAGCGUGGGGAGCAAACAGGAUUAGAUACCCCAGUAGUC